GGCAGCCUGCAAGGUCUUGCUGUGGUGGCAGCAGUAGUGGUGGUGGUCUUGCAAGGCCUUGCGGCAGUGGCAAAAGCAGCAAUGGCCUGCAAGGCCUUGUCAUGGCUGUGGCAGUAGCGGCGGCCUGUGAGGCCUUGUGGUGGCAGCAGGAGACGGUGGCAGAAGCAGAGGUGACCUGUAAGGCGUUGCUGAGGCAGGCUGCCACAGCUUCUGCCACUGCCUCCCACUGCUACCACGAGGCCUCGCAGGCUGCCACUACUAUUGCUGCCAUCUCUUGUUUUCGCCGUAAGGCCUCGCAGGAUGCCGCU